rnacentral:rRNA from 1 species
GAUGAACGCUGGCGGCGUGCCUAAUACAUGCAAGUCGAGCGAACAGACGAGGAGCUUGCUCCUCUGACGUUAGCGGCGGACGGGUGAGUAACACGUGGAUAACCUACCUAUAAGACUGGGAUAACUUCGGGAAACCGGAGCUAAUACCGGAUAAUAUAUUGAACCGCAUGGUUCAAUAGUGAAAGACGGUUUUGCUGUUACUUAUAGAUGGAUCAGCGACGAAUUAGCUAGUUGGUAAGGUAACGGCUUACCAAGGCAACGAUGCGUAGCCGACCUGAGAGGGUGAUCGGCCACACUGGAACUGAGACACGGUCCAGGCUCCUACGGGAGGCAGCAGUAGGGAAUCUUCCGCAAUGGGCGAAAGCCUGACGUAGCAACGCCGCGUGAGUGAUGAAGGUCUUCGGAUCGUAAAACUCUGUUAUUAGGGAAGAACAAAUGUGUAAGUAACGAUGCACGUCUUGACGGUACCUAAUCAGAAAGCCACGGCUAACUACGUG